AACAUCUAAGUACCCCGAGGAAAAGAAAUCAACCGAGAUUCCGAAAGUAGCGGCGAGCGAAAUUGGACUAGCCCUUAAGCUUUACACGCGUUAGACGAACGGUCUGGAAAGUCCGACGAUACAGGGUGAUAGUCCCGUAGUUGACGACGUGUGUUCAGUGAAAUCGAGUAGGGCGGGACACGUGAUAUCCUGUCUGAAUAUGGGGGGACCAUCCUCCAAGGCUAAAUACUACUGACUGACCGAUAGUGAACCAGUACCGUGAGGGAAAGGCGAAAAGAACCCCUGUGAGGGGAGUGAAAUAGAACCUGAAACCGUGUACGUACAAGCAGUAGGAGCAGGCUUUGUCCUGUGACUGCGUACCUUUUGUAUAAUGGGUCAGCGACUUAUAUUCAGUGGCAAGGUUAACCAUCUAGGGGAGCCGUAGGGAAACCGAGUCUUAACUGGGCGUUCAGUCUCUGGAUAUAGACCCGAAACCAGGUGAUCUAGCCAUGGGCAGGUUGAAGGUUGAGUAACAUCAACUGGAGGACCGAACCGACUAAUGUUGAAAAAUUAGCGGAUGACUUGUGGCUAGGGGUGAAAGGCCAAUCAAACCUGGAGAUAGCUGGUUCUCCCCGAAAGCUAUUUAGGUAGCGCCUCGGACGAAUACUACUGGGGGUAGAGCACUGUUAAGGCUAGGGGGUCAUCCCGACUUACCAACCCUUUGCAAACUCCGAAUACCAGUAAGUACUAUCCGGGAGACACACGGCGGGUGCUAACGUCCGUCGUGGAGAGGGAAACAACCCAGACCGCCAGCUAAGGUCCCAAAUUACUACUAAGUGGGAAACGAUGUGGGAAGGCUCAGACAGCCAGGAUGUUGGCUUAGAAGCAGCCAUCAUUUAAAGAAAGCGUAAUAGCUCACUGGUCGAGUCGGCCUGCGCGGAAGAUGUAACGGGGCUAAGUAGUAAACCGAAGCUGCGGCAAUGUGCUUUUGCACAUUGGGU
rnacentral:rRNA from 1 species